AGGUUCUUUACUUCACUCUUAACAUGAAAUCAAAAUAUUUUUGAAAUCAGUCCUUGGGGUCCGGAGAAAACCCGGUUCUAAUAUUCCACAUGAACAGUCGCUUUACAAAGCCUGUCUUAUUUACCCAGUAGUGGGAGUGAUUGAAAUAGGUUCCUUACUUCACUUUUAACAUGAAAUUAAAAUAUUUUUGAAAUCAGUCCCAGGGGUCCCGAGAAAAACCGAUUCAAAUGUUGUCCUUAGAUAGUCACUUAACAAAGUCUUUGGCAUUUGCCCAGUAGUGGGAGUGGUCAAAAUAGGUUCUUUACUUCACUCUUAACAUGAAAUCCAAAUAUUUUUGAAAUCGGCCCCUGGGGUCCGGAGAAAAACCGGUUCUAAUAUUCCACAUGAACAGUCGCUUUACAAAGCCUGUCUUAUUUACCCAGUAGUGGGAGUGAUUGAAAUAGGUUCCUUACUUCACUUUUAACAUGAAAUUAAAAUAUUUUUGAAAUCAGUCCCAGGGGUCCCGAGAAAAACCGAUUCAAAUGUUGUCCUUAGAUAGUCACUUAACAAAGUCUUUGGCAUUUGCCCAGUAGUGGGAGUGGUCAAAAUAGGUUCUUUACUUCACUCUUAACAUGAAAUCCAAAUAUUUUUGAAAUCGGCCCCUGGGGUCCGGAGAAAAACCGGUUCUAAUAUUCCACAUGAACAGUCGCUUUACAAAGCCUGUCUUAUUUACCCAGUAGUGGGAGUGAUUGAAAUAGGUUCCUUACUUCACUUUUAACAUGAAAUUAAAAUAUUUUUGAAAUCAGUCCCAGGGGUCCCGAGAAAAACCGAUUCAAAUGUUGUCCUUAGAUAGUCACUUAACAAAGUCUUUGGCAUUUGCCCAGUAGUGGGAGUGGUCAAAAUAGGUUCUUUACUUCACUCUUAACAUGAAAUCCAAAUAUUUUUGAAAUCGGCCCCUGGGGUCCGGAGAAAAACCGGUUCUAAUAUUCCACAUGAACAGUCGCUUUACAAAGCCUGUCUAAUGGAUAGGGUUGACUUUUGUGGUGCAGUGAUUUUUAAAGAAAACAACGUGUGGUCAACUCGAUGGUAUAUUUGCAACUAACUUCAACAUAGUUUUAGUGGACUGUAUUAGAUAUAAGCACAUGUAUAGAUAGCCAUACUCAUUAAGCUUAUCCAUAGAAACGAACUAAUUAUUAAACUAUUUGGACA
rnacentral:lncRNA from 1 species